CUAUAUACAAGUUGCAGUGGCAUAAAAAAACAAACAACUAGUCCUAACUGGAGAGGUAACAGUUGCUUGUUCACUGGGUUGGCCAAACUGCAAAAUGAACAAAAGUGGAGUCAGAAAGCAAAACAGUAUGAUAGAAUUUGAGAAACCUCAAGAAAAUCAGUAUCUAGCUCUAAAAUGGUAGAGUACAAACUGUGACAAAGGAGAGUACCAAGAAAUAAGGCUAUAGAGGUAGGUAGUAGCUACCUAUCUUGACCACAGAGCAGUGUAGGCAUUAGGAAACCAGGUUCAUAGUUUAGACAGAUCUGUCUGGCAACAAUGUAAAAUGGAUUAGGGGGAGGGGAUGAGAAAGAUGGUUGUCAGAGAGACCAGUAUAGGUGACGGGUUAUGAAAACUUAAAUUAAGGCAAUAGUGCAAUGGAGAUAGAAGGGCAGGAAUGUUAGAUGUAGUAAGCAGAUGACAGAACUGAUAGCACUCAAUCAUCAUCAACUUGAGUGAUGGGCAGGGAUUGGGCACAGGCGCCAGAUGAAGGAAAAAGCAGAGUGGAGAAUAAAUUCUGGGUUCAAGUGACAGGUGAAUGGUGGUGUUACUCACUGAGAAGAGGAACCGGUUCAGGGAGGGAAGGAAAGUGUGUUCUGGUUUUGAAUGUGUAGAGUCUGUGAUGCAUUUGAAAUAGCCAGUUCUAAUAUACAUGGGAAUAUAAUCUGGAGCCCAGAGGAGAUAAAUGUCUGGGUAAAGGAGAUAAAUGUCUAGGUGAAAGGUAUGGCAGUAACAGAAAAAACAGGAGUGGAUAAGAUCACUCAGAUAAAGUACUGAAUAAAAAGAAACAAACACAAAACCAGUAACAAAAGGCUUCUGGGGAUACCAAUAAUUAAGUGGCAGAGAAGUCCACAGAAGACAGAGACUGAGCAGUCAUAAAGGCAGAAGCAGAACCUAGAGAAUGAUGUCAUGGAAACCAAGGUAGUGCACAGUUUUCAGAAGGACAGGGUGAGUAAAUGGAGCCAUGAAGUGACUGGUUUUUCACAAAUCAACUGGCUGGUAAAACUUUCACAAUGCCAAAUAUAAGGUUUGGGGGUACACGUACUUACAACUGUAUUAAUUGAGACCCACGAGGCAAGAGAAGUCUAAUGUAUAACAAUUUUUAAAACUUCAUGUGGAAAAAUUAUUCAUUUCACCAGUGACAUUAGGAUCUACUUAUGACCUCUGAUGAGGCCCAAAGAUCUUUAGUGACUUAACAAGUCACAAAAUCAGAAGUGGAAUUUGAAUCUAGAUCAUCUGACUGAAAAUCAACUUUCUUUCAGUUCUUUGUUAUGACUCAUUAUCAGGUUCUUAUUUUAGUAACCAGCUGUGCUUGGUCCCCAUCAACCAAGCCUGCUCUUGCCUUAGCAAAUGACCCUGUACAUUACAGAGGUAAACAUGAUAAACCAA
rnacentral:lncRNA from 1 species